AAAGACUUUCUUGAUUGAUGGCUGGCUGGUUGGAUAGAAGGCUGGGUUAAAUGAGUGACCAUCAUUUGUCAGAUGCUCUAGCGAAUAUCAAAGAUUUGCCCUUUGACCUCUGGAAACUUUGAUAUCAAGAUAAGUGCAGACACAAAAGAACUGUAUAGCUUCUCAAGCUUGACCCAAUCUCGAGCCUGCUCACUGUCCAUCUCGAAGCACAAUUCCUGGGAUCCAUCAAUGAUUUGUAUAUCAAUCAACCAGCUCAAUGUCUACCCAUCCCAAAGCACCUGGCACCAUGUUGGAAUAUGGAAGACACAAAGUCACAGACAAUUUGAUCAAUUGGCAAAGUAUAU
rnacentral:lncRNA from 1 species